rnacentral:rRNA from 1 species
AACGAACGCUGGCGGCAUGCCUAACACAUGCAAGUCGAACGAGAUCCUCGGGUCUAGUGGCGCACGGGUGCGUAACGCGUGGGAAUCUGCCCUUUGGUUCGGAAUAACAGUUGGAAACGACUGCUAAUACCGGAUGAUGACGAAAGUCCAAAGAUUUAUCGCCAGAGGAUGAGCCCGCGUAGGAUUAGCUAGUUGGGGUGGUAAAGGCGCACCAAGGCGACGAUCCUUAGCUGGUCUGAGAGGAUGAUCAGCCACACUGGGACUGAGACACGGCCCAGACUCCUACAGGAGGCAGCAGUGGGGAAGAUUGGACAAUGGGCGAAAGCCUGAUCCAGCAAUGCCGCGUGAGUGAUGAAGGCCUUAGGGUUGUAAAGCUCUUUUACCCGGGAUGAUAAUGACAGUACCGGGAGAAUAAGCUCCGGCUAUCUCCGUGCCAGCAGCCGCGGUAACAC